GACGAACGCUGGCGGCGCGCUUAACACAUGCAAGUCGAACGAGACCUUCGGGUCUAGUGGCGCACGGGUGAGUAACGCGUGGGAACCUACCCCAAGGUACGGGAUAACGGAUGGAAACGUCCGCUAAUACCGUAUGUUCCGGAGACGGUAAAGAUUUAUCGCCUUGGGACGGGCCCGCGUUGGAUUAGCUUGUUGGUGGGGUAAUGGCCUACCAAGGCUACGAUCUAUAGCUGGUCUGAGAGGAUGAUCAGCCACACUGGGACUGAGACACGGCCCAGACUCCUACGGGAGGCAGCAGUGGGGAAUCUUGGACAAUGGGGGCAACCCUGAUCCAGCGACGCCGCGUGGGUGAUGAAGGCCUUCGGGUUGUAAAUCCCUUUUAUCCGGGAAGAUGAUGACGGUACCGGGUGAAUAAGCACCGGCUAACUCCG
rnacentral:rRNA from 1 species